rnacentral:lncRNA from 1 species
AGACUUUGAUGUCUUCAAAGCAAGGCGAGUGAGUGGCACUCUUCAGACAAGAAGGAAGAUGGCAGGUGAAAUCAUCUUCUUCUAAUGAGCCCUGUGCUAUGCUUGCUGAUGUCCUUGGUCACGGAGAUUUUCAGAAAAGCCAUGGCCUUACCAGUGAAGGUUACACAGAGGCCACUGGAGUCAAGUAAUUCAUUGCUCCUUAUUACAUUUAGGCACUUCUUUAUCCAUCAUGCAGGCUAUUGGGAUUAAAAUGGGUCCUUUCAACAAUGAGUCAAUAUUGAAGAUUCUGUGGAUCCAUUUAUUGAC